UACGGGAGGCAGCAGUGGGGAAUAUUGCACAAUGGGCGCAAGCCUGAUGCAGCCAUGCCGCGUGUAUGAAGAAGGCCUUCGGGUUGUAAAGUACUUUCAGUCGUGAGGAAGGUGUUAAGGUUAAUAACCUUAGCAAUUGACGUUAGCGACAGAAGAAGCACCGGCUAACUCCGUGCCAGCAGCCGCGGUAAUACGGAGGGUGCGAGCGUUAAUCGGAAUUACUGGGCGUAAAGGGCACGCAGGCGGUUAAUUAAGUUGGAUGUGAAAUCCCCGGGCUUAACCUGGGAAUGGCAUUCAAGACUGGUUAGCUAGAGUCUUGUAGAGGGGGUAGAAUUCCAUGUGUAGCGGUGAAAUGCGUAGAGAUGUGGAGGAAUACCGGGUGGCGAAGGCGGCCCCUGGGACAAAGGCUGACGCUCAUGUGCGAAAGCGUGGGGAGCAAACAGGGAUUAGAUACC
rnacentral:rRNA from 1 species